UGGCCUACUAAGAUGGAAGACAUUCUGUUAGGAUUUUCUCAACAGCAAGGGCUUUAGCUACAAAUGCUGAGCUCACUAUAUUUGCCCAAGAGCGAGUGAUAAUUAGCCGGAUCCUUCUGAAAUUGUUAAUGCUGCUGGCCCUAAAAUAAAUGUCCAUUCUGGAUCAGGUUUCCUACAGUUCCAUUCAGUCUGCAAUCGGAUGGAUACUAUAUUCAAAAUGUACUCAGUCAUUUUAAGUCACAGACAAGAAGCAAAAUGGCUUCCAAGCAGAUUUAAAAAAAAAAAAAAGGUGUUGCAGGAAGACGGCUAUUUCGUGGCAAGCCCAGAGAGCGGAUCACCACAUGAAUCAUGUUCUAAUAUAACUGAGCCACAGAAUGAUAAUUCAGUUGGCCUCAAAACAACACAAUAACAAUAAACUCUUUAACCCAUAGAGAUUUGACUGUGCAGAUCACGCUGUAGGAAAUGAAACAGACUGCUAGAAAUAAGCAACUAUUUACAUAUACGGUUCUGAACCCCAAACUUCUUCACCUGGGAGCACCUCCCGGAGGAGGUUUCAGGUCUGGCAUCAGCCACAGAGACCUCCCAUGAGGGCUCGCCAUGCACUUGUCAUGGGGAAGGAAGGCUUGGGUUUUGGUCCAGCUCUACCCUGUGCUGGGAGGUUACCAUGGAGGGCUGAGGAGGACGGAAGCAGAGGCACUGGCUGAUUCUUAAGAGUUUUGCAAAUAGCUUUUGUUUUAGAGGCGCCGGUGAGCUCAUGAGCAUCAAGUUUUAGAUGCGAUUGCCACACACACCAAGAAUCAUACGCAGAACAGCUUGAAUGCACUGUGAUCACGAGGACUGGAUUUAUCAACAGCAAAACAGGACUGAAAAAAGAAGUUUCUUAUCCAAGGAUUCUCUGAGGCUGCAACCAAGGAGGUGGUGUGGUGAUUUGUUUUCCUCUCUUGCUCCUCUGAGAGUUCAAAGCUCAGAGCUGACCACUGCAAAGGCCACUGUCACAUUUGCUGAAAAUCAAACCACUGAUCGCAGCACCGAAAAUACAAAUAUGAGGAGCCGAGCUGCUUGCACAUGAUGCAGUGCCUAUGAGUUAAAAAUAGAGUCCACCUUGCCUCCUACCUGCAUAAUAAACAUGUAAGUUUCGAGUGUUUAA